GGACUUCUCAGAUAACGUGCACCCUCUGUGUAGGUUUGUCAGGAUAGCGUCUAGGUCGGGGUGUUUCAACUCCCCGUUGAGGUAACAGCUACAUUACAGAGGGGAGAAGGGUAGUUAGGUAUAAGUGGGAGCGCAGCAGCGGGUAAUAAUAACCAUCAAAAAUAACGUAAGAGAGUUAUAAUACUGUUAGUACGCAGUUCUUCUGUAUGAUCUGGUUUUCCUUCUGGCUUGUUGGUCGCUGCAGAUGAACUGUGUGUCUUGGGCCAGUCAAGUGGCUAGGAGUGCAGGCGGGCGUCCUGUGGUUGACCGUGGCGCGAAGGUAGGGAUCUUAGACGGGUCCAGGUUUCGGAGGCGGGAGGUUGAGUCUUGUUCCGGUAGUAGCUUCAGGCUGCGCAUGUUGGCCUCUAGUUCCAGAGGGUUCUUGGCUCUGUAAGUGCCUCCCUGGUGAGUGAGUAUGAGUUGUCUGGGGUUUCCCCAGCGGUAAGGCACGUCCUGGGCUCUCAGGAUUUGGAGUAGUGGUUUCAUUGACCUGCGCCAGAGUAAUGUCUUCUUGGUGAGGUCAGGGAAUAGGAGCAGAGAUGAGCCUUCAAAUUGGAUUGGGGUUUUCCCUCUCACUGCAGAUAAGAUUAGAGCUUUGUCGUGCAUUGUUUGGAAGCGGAGAAUAAGAUCCGCCGUGGCCGUGGCAGGGGCAUUUUUUGGCAUUGGUAGCCUGAACAUGCCACCCAGUUUUAGUGCCUUUGUUUGUUUGGCCGGUAGCAGGGUUGAGAUGAGACGCCUUAUGUAGUGCGGCGUUUCCUCUGUACUCACUGUGUCAGGGAUGCCCCUCAGUUUAAGGUUGUACCGUCGCCUCUGUUCUUCCAGGGUGUCAACUCUGGCCUCCAUGCCUUUCUGGGCUAGUUGUAUUUCUUCCAGCCUCUGCUCUACUUUAAUUAGUCUGGAAUCCUGGUUGCUAUACGUGGCCUCUAGGGCUGUAAGUCGGGUAAGUGCACCAGCUACUGUCUCUUUAAAUUGUGAGAUGUCGGCUGCUAUAUUGGAGCGCAGCUCCUCCAGCAUUGAUUUCAGCAUAUUUUUAGUGAUCGGUUCUUGGCCAGCAGGUGGUGUAGUUUGUACCUUUGGUACAGCUCCCAGCAUGGCUCCUCCGUCCGUAUCCGCGUGGAAGUCCUCAGAGGAGUAAGAAGAUGUUUCAUCUUCCAUAUGCGGCGCCAUAUUGGGCCAUGCGGUCUGCUGAGCGCGCCGCAGGAGACCGCCGAUAUCUCGGCUGCUGGGCACCCGGUCCGCCUUAGUUUUCUUUGAUUUUCGGCCCAUGUUCCUGCG